rnacentral:rRNA from 1 species
AUUGAACGCUGGCGGCAGGCCUAACACAUGCAAGUCGAGCGGAAGAAGGGAGCUUGCUGCUGGCGUGAGGGGAGGGCGGGAGAGUAAUACCGAGGAGUGUGCGUUGGAGGGGGGGAAAGCGUCGAGAGACGUGCGCAAAUAGCGCAUACGUCAUGAGGGAGAAAGGGGGGGAUCUUGGGACCUCGCGGUCGCAGCGGAGGCUAGGUCGGAUUAGCUAGUUGGUGGGGUAAAGGCAUACCAAGGCGACGAUCCGUAACUGGUCUGAGAGGAUGAUCAGUCACACUGGGACUGAGACACGGUCCAGACUCCUACGGGAGGCAGCAGUGGGGAAUUUUGGACAAUGGGCGAAAGCCUGAUCCAGCCAUGCCGCGUGUAUGAUGAAGGUCUUCGGAUUGUAAACUACUUUUAUUUGGGACGAAGGGCAUUUAUCUAAUACCUAGCUGUCUUGACGGUACCAACAGAAUAAGCACCGGCUAACUUCGUG